rnacentral:tRNA from 1 species
GCCUUCGUGGUGUAGUGGUCAGUACGCUCGGCGCAUAUUCGAGAGAUUUGAGGUUCAAAUCCCGACGAUGGCA